CUUAAGAUGACAGAUUUAAUGUGAUAGCUUUAAAAGCUAUCAAUGGGGGACCUCUUAAGA
rnacentral:tRNA from 1 species